UGAGGAAUAUUGGACAAUGGGGGAAACCCUGAUCCAGCAAUGCCGCGUGAAUGAAGAAGGCCUUCGGGUUGUAAAAUUCUUUCACUCGUGAUGAUGAUGACAGUAGCGAGAGAAGAAGCUCCGGCUAACUCUGUGCCAGCAGCCGCGGUAAGACAGAGGGAGCUAGCGUUGUUCGGAAUGAUUGGGCGUAAAGGGUGCGUAGGCGGUUAUUUAAGUAAGGUGUUAAAGCCCCAGGCUCAACCUGGGAAUCGCGCUUUAAACUGGAUAACUGGAGUAUGAGAGAGGAAAGUGGAAUUCCUAGUGUAGAGGUGAAAUUCGUAGAUAUUAGGAGGAAUACCUGAGGCGAAGGCGGCUUUCUGGUUCAUUACUGACGCUGAGGCACGAAAGCGUGGGGAGCAAAUAGG
rnacentral:rRNA from 1 species